GGUGAGGGUUUGAGCCAUGGAGAGAAGUUGUUGUCAUGGUUUAUGCUAAUUGUGGCAAUAAUAGUUAGCAUUGUCGGCGUAAUUGGAAAUAUUUAUAGUCUCAAAAGCCAAUCCAAAUGAUAUUCAUCAUAGUUGAUGUGUUGGUAGUUUCUAUGAAGAAAGAUUGGCCAAUUUCCUCCAAAGUCAAGUGGGUGAUACCUUCUCUCUGGGGCCUAAUAAUUUUCAAACAAUCAAGUCAUAUUAGGAAAUGGAUGCAACCUAGGCAAAAUAUUGUUUCAGAUUGCAAGUGUCCUGAUGUUUGAGAUAUUGUGACUUCUCAGAGCAACUAUGACAUACUGGUUCAGCAUUUGAAGAAUGUUUAGGUAAAAUACUUUAUAUGGACACCCACAAUAUGCCAGUUGGUGUCCAUAUAAAGUAUUUUACCUAAAC
rnacentral:misc_RNA from 1 species